UCCCUCUAUUUUUUAUUUCUUCUUCUCCCGUGGGACUUGCCUCCCAGAGCUAGGAAUGAUGGGAGAAGCCUCCCUCCCCCGGUGGGGGAAGAGGAGGAAUCAGUCCAAGAGAAGAGAACUCCCCUCCUUUUAUAGCUUCAGCAUCCCCUCUCUCUCUUCCUCUCUAGUUGUUCCGAUAAGGAUGAAGACGUGAGCUGAUCCGUUGUCGAUGGAGGAGGCUUUGGAGAGGAUCUCGGACGGUUGCUGGCUUCCAGAAGCUCGGAAUGGUUGUUGUAGAGCUGUGGAUGCUGCGGAUGUGAAGCAGGGGAAGUGCACCAGACGCGUACGGUUGCUUUCGGAAUGGGAUACGGGAGCUGGGAGAUCCGAAAGAAGGUUCUGGUUUUCAUCCGAUGAAACAGGGGAUUUGAUGUGGUCAUGGGGUGUUUCCGUGAAGUCUGGGAAGUAGCUGAACCGAGGAAGCAGGGGGGUUCAGGUGAGAGAAAUCCGGAAGAAUGGGGAGAUGGAGUGCGGAAUGGGAUGAAGUUAAUCUCGGACGGGAGGAAUCCGGAAGAAGACGUGGCUUACAGGCGCGAGGGGGGAGCUGAGAAGAUCUCGGAUGAGAGAAAUCUGGAAGGGCUUCAACGUGGAGAAGAUCUUGAACGGGAUACUCGGGAGGAGAUGUUCCGGAAGCCUUGGAGAUGAAGACGUGUGAAACAGGGAAGGAAUGGAUUCGGUUGGUUUUGUUUUGAAACUAAAACAGGGGAUGUGGAACUGUGAACGCGACGUUUGAGUUCAUCCCGUGAAGAUGGAGGAGAUACAGUUGGUUCGGUCGCUGGGACUUGGCUGGGAGAUCUUUGGAAGAAUCCCUUCGCUGGGGAUUUAGUGGGAGGAUUGAAUGGUUGAGAUGCUCACGGGAUGAGGAUGAAGAAGCUGGGAGGUCGUCCUUGAAUCGCGGACGGGAGAGAAGCUGGAAGACGUGAUGAAGAUGGCCUGAGCUUAUGGGUGGUUAGCUGGGUUCGGAAGAGGGAUGAGCGUGGGAUUUGUGUUCAUCCCACGGGCAAAAAGGAGGGGAGAUAAGCUGGGGUGGACUUGGAGCUCGGAUGACGGAUUUAGAGGGAGUUUGGUGGAACCGUGGAGCUCGGAAAAUCUGGUAUGUUGGCAGUUGGGAUAUAACGGAGGAUAAGCUCGGUAUGGGAUGCAGGGGAUUGCAUACGGAAGAAUUGGAAUGUUGGCACCUGGGCUUAAGAUGCAGAAGAAGCUGGGAUUGAUUUGGGAGAAAAGAUUUUGAGACAUGACGGUCGGCUGGGAAGUCUUGGGACGACCCUGUUCUUUGGUCAUGAAACAGGGGAGAUUGGGACUGGACCUGGGUGCGUAUUAUUCGGGUUCAGGGAUCAUCCCAAAUAAGUUUGACUUGACCUGCAUUCAUUAGGCUUAAUCAUUAAAUAAUCAAAUCAAACUUGAAUUACCUUUGAUAUUAAAAUGCACUGGUAAAGGUAAUACAUUUUUUAGUUGAAUUUACAAAAUAUAUGAAUUAAAAUAAUGAUAAGUGCUAUAAAUAAAAGGUUAAUUUAUGCAUUAUUUAGCACUUAUCACACCCCCCAACCUACAUUUUGCUAGUCCUCAAGCAAAAUAAAAGCUAACUCACUUUCGCAGGAAUCGCGAUUGCAUUUACCGUAUGCAAUAAGGCUUUAAACCCCUAGGUGGCCCUAGUGGACGAGUUUUGUCUCGUGAGGAUUUCCGGCUCAGAUACCCACAAACUGUGUCGAAAAAAAUUUAUUUUAUUGUUUUAUAAAAUCUAAUUUCAAAUGCAUUAAUGCCAAGAAUUUCAAAAGCACACAAAGUUUUAAUUACUAAGUCAGCCCGA
rnacentral:lncRNA from 1 species